rnacentral:lncRNA from 13 species
GGCAAAGCUCUGUUCUGGGGACACUGGGGGAAAUGUGGUGAUAGCACGCAAUACCUCCUGUGGAGAGCUAGAAGGGGAAUCCGCUCCAAUAACAUCUGUGGUAUGUGUAUGUGGCACCAUCAAGAGCAGGGAGUACCCUGGUACUGGUGCCUCAGCCUUCCAAUUAGCUGGGAUCCCUGGUGGGCACCACCGCAAAUGGCUAAUUUUUGUAUUGUUAGUAGAGGCGGGGUUUCACCAUGUUGGCCAGGCUGGUCUUCAACUCCUGAAGUCAUGUGAUCUGCCUCCCUGGGCCUGCUAAAGUGCUGGAGUUCCAGGUGUGAGACACUGGGCUGCCUCCAUGGAUUCUUAAGUAAAGGUUGUUAGGAUUCAUCCAUCAGUCCAGUCUCCUAUAUAAAUUUCUCUAACCAUUCAUUGACCAUGAUAUAUGAUGAGAUAACUCGGUAUUGCAGCAAUGCUUCUGGAAAGCAGUUAGGGAAAUUUUUGAAGAUUUGGGAAAAAAGGUUUAAUUAUUUGCACUGAUUUAGGUAAGAGGAUACAUGAUUUAAGAUCUACCAGAUGAGGGAGAUUUUGUCCCAUGGAUCUGAAAAGCAGGCUCAUAUACUACUGAGGCAACCUAAUCAAGGGCCUGUUAGAACAUUCCUGUCAGAAUAUCACAUCCUUACACUGAGAAUAUUUUGCGUCCUUGUGCUAUAACAGGACUCUGAUUUGGUCUUGUGUGAAGUGCGAUUUCCUUAAUGUGAUCUGCUCUUCUUAAUUUGUUUACAGAUGAUCGAAAAGAUCACGAUGAAGAACAAAAAUACAGAGACAGCAAAAAUAAACUUCUUAUGAGUCAAGUGGCGUACUACCUGGCCUGCCGGCUGAGGAUGAAAGUCCCUGGCUUUCGGUAUUGUUACCCAAACAGCAGGGUGGAUUCCGGUAAACUUCCUUCCAGAAAAGACCCAGAGGUGAACGUUCCAGAAACCAUUGAGAAAUCCUGCUCCCAGCGAGAAGAUAACAAACCGGAUGUCGGAGUCUGCCGAAAUAGAUGUCUUCUGAGUGAGGUGAACUACUCCCUGAACUACCGGCUGAGGGCAUACGAAGCUCGAGAAGAUGACGAUGAAGAACGGAGAUACAGAGACAGCAAAAAUAAACUGCUUGUGAGUCGAGUGGUCUACUCCCUGGCCUGUCAGCUGACGACGGAAGUCCCUGGCUUUCCGUGUUCUGCCCCGAAUGUCAUCACGGUGGCAUCUGGCAGGGCUGUUGCCGGAAAAAUCCCAGGGGUGAACGUUCCAGAAGCCAUUGAGAAAUCCUGCUCCCAGCGGGAAGAUAACAAACUGGAUGUCGGAGUCUGCCGAAAUAGAUGUCUUCUGAGUGAGGUGGACUACUCCCUGAACUACCGGCUGAGGGCAUACGGUCAUCAAGAUUAUAAUAAAAAACGGAAAUACAGAGACAGGAAAAAUAAGCAUUUUACGAGUCAAGCGGCCUUCUGCCUGGGCUCUGGGCUGAAGACGGAAGUCCCUGGCUUUCUGUAUUCUGCCCCAAACGUCCACAUGGUGGCGUCUGGCAGGCCUUCCAGAAUAAACCCAGAGGUGAAUGUUCCAGAAGGCACUGAGAAAUCCGGCUCACAACAGGAAGAAAACAAACCAAAUGCUGGAACCACUGAAAAUAGACUUCUUCUGAGUCAGGUGGCCUACUUCCAGAACUACCGGCUGAAGUCAGACAGUAAGUUCUAUAGGUUGACCACCACGAAAGUGAUCAAUGAUGUCCUGUGUUUCGAGAAACUCACGGUUCUCUUCAUCAAAGUUUAUUUCAUUUUUCCCAUAGUUGUAAAAAAUAGAAAUGGGUAUUUUAACAUUGUUGUUAAAGAUGGAAGAUGGAAACUGAAGUACUUAGCUACUUUUCCACGGCUGUAGUAAGAUGGUGUGGGACUGGGGUCACAAUCCAGGCUAUCAGUGUCUGACACAAGUACAGAACCACCUGUUUUUCUCAGCAAGAGACCGAAUUCAUGUUUACAGGAAUCCUCUCUGUACAGUAUAAGAUCCUGCAGACAAGUAGCAUUUAGCUUGUUGAUCAAAAUGUCUGAAGCUACUGAAAUUUUAUUUGGUUCUGGUUAUUUGAGGCUUAGUAGGCAAAGCUGUGCCUUUCGGACCCUGCGGGAAACGUG